AUUUUAGUAUUUGGAAGCAAAUACUAAAAUUGGAAUAAUACAGAGAAUAUUAUCAUGGCCCCCUGUACAAGGAUGACACACAAAUUUGUGAAGUGCUCUAUAUUUUU